AAGCCAUGGUUGGGGCAUUGCUUUAGGAGAAUUUUAAACCUCUCCCAUACAUCCACUAGAGUCUCACCAUCCUUCUGCAUGAAGUUAGUGAUCUCACCUCUGGUUU